rnacentral:rRNA from 1 species
UUCCGGUUGAUCCUGCCGGACCUUACUGCUAUCGGGGUGGGACUAAGACAUGCGAGUCGAGCGUCUCUAGCUAUGUUGAGACGCGGCAGACGGCUCAGUAACACGUGGCUAACCUACCUUCAGGACGAGGAUAAACCCGGGAAACUGGGGCUAAUACUCGAUAGGUGAGGAUGUCUGGAAUGACUUCUCAUCCAAAGGACAUUGGAAACAUGCUUUCAAUGUCGCCUGGGGAUGGGGCCGCGUCCGAUCAGGUUGUUGGUGAGGUAACGGCUCACCAAGCCUAUAACCGGUACGGGCCGUGAGAGCGGUAGCCCGGAGAUGGGUACUGAGACAAGGACCCAGGCCCCACGGGGCGCAGCAGUCGCGAAAACUCCGCAAUGCACGAAAGUGUGACGGGGCUACCCCGAGUGCCAUCCGCUGAGGGUGGCUUUUCUUUGGUAUAACUAGCCAUUGGAAUAAGGAGAGGGCAAGACUGGUGUCAGCCGCCGCGGUAAUACCAGCUCUCCGAGUGGUAGGGAUGAUUAUUGGGCUUAAAGCGUCCGUAGCCGGCUUAGCAAGUCUCCUGUUAAAUUCAGCGACCUAAUCGUUGACCCGCGGGAGAUACUACUAGGCUAGGAGGCGGGAGAGGUCGACGGUACUUCUGGGGUAGGGGUGAAAUCCUAUAAUCCCGGGAGGACCACCAGUGGCGAAGGCUGUCGACUAGAACGCGCUCGACGGUGAGGGACGAAAGCUGGGGGAGCGAACCGGAUUAGAUACCCGGGUAGUCCCAGCCGUAAACGAUGCGAGCUAGGUGUUGGAAUGGCUACGUGCCAUUUCAGUGCCGCAGGGAAGCCAUUAAGCUCGCCGCCUGGGGAGUACGGCCGCAAGGCUGAAACUUAAAGGAAUUGGCGGGGGAGCACCACAAGG